rnacentral:rRNA from 1 species
GACGAACGCUGGCGGCGUGCUUAACACAUGCAAGUCGAACGGAAAGGCCCUGCUUGCAGGGUACUCGAGUGGCGAACGGGUGAGUAACACGUGGGUGAUCUGCCCUGCACUUCGGGAUAAGCCUGGGAAACUGGGUCUAAUACCGGAUAGGAGCCAUUUUUAGUGUGAUGGUUGGAAAGUUUUUUCGGUGUAGGAUGAGCUCGCGGCCUAUCAGCUUGUUGGUGGGGUAAUGGCCUACCAAGGCGGCGACGGGUAGCCGGCCUGAGAGGGUGGACGGCCACAUUGGGACUGAGAUACGGCCCAGACUCCUACGGGAGGCAGCAGUGGGGAAUAUUGCACAAUGGGCGCAAGCCUGAUGCAGCGACGCCGCGUGGAGGAUGACGGCCUUCGGGUUGUAAACUCCUUUCGCUAGGGACGAAGCUUUUUGUGACGGUACCUAGAGAAGAAGCACCGGCUAACUACGUG